rnacentral:tRNA from 1 species
UCCCAUGUGGUCUAGUGGUUAGGAUUUCUGGUUUUCACCGAGGCGGCCCGGGUUCGAUUCCCGGCAUGGGAA